rnacentral:rRNA from 1 species
GUAUAGAACCUACCCUGUACAGGGGGAUAGCCCAUGGAAACGUGGAUUAAUACCCCGUGGUGAUCUUAAUUGGCAUCGAUUAAGGUUUAAAGCCUUCGGCGUACGGGAUGGCUAUGCGUCUUAUUAGUUAGUAGGUGAGGUAACGGCUCACCUAGGCAGCGAUAAGUAGGGGCCCUGAGAGGGGGAUCCCCCACACUGGUACUGAGACACGGACCAGACUCCUACGGGAGGCAGCAGUGAGGAAUAUUGGACAAUGGGCGGAAGUGAUCCAGCCAUGCCGCGUGCAGGAAGACGGCCUUAUGGGUUGUAAACUGCUUUUAUACGGGAAGAAUAAUCACCACGUGUGGUGAGAUGACGGUACCGUAAGAAUAAGGACCGGCUAACUCCGUGCCAGCAGCCGCGGUAAUACGGAGGGUCCGAGCGUUAUCCGGAAUCAUUGGGUUUAAAGGGUCCGCAGCGGGCAAUUAAGUCAGGGGUGAAAUGGUGCGGCUCAACCGUAGCACUGCCCUGGAUACUGGUUGUCUUGAGUUGUGGUGAAGUGGCCGGAAUAUGUAGUGUAGCGGUGAAAUGCAUAGAUAUUACAUAGAACACCGAUCGCGAAGCAGGUCACUAACCACCAACUGACGCUGAUGGACGAAAGCGUGGGGAGCGAACGGGAUUAGAUACCCCGGUAGUCCACGCUGUAAACGAUGGAUACUAGCUGUCGGGGCGCAAGUCGGUGGCCAAGCGAAAGUGAUAAGUAUCCCACCUGGGGAGUACGUUCGCAAGAAUGAAACUCAAAGGAAUUGACGGGGGCCCGCACAAGCGUGGAGCAUGUGGCUUAAUUCGAUGCAACGCGAAGAACCUUACCUGGGCUCGAACGCUACCGGACAACCCCUGAAAGGGGUCUCCUUCGGGCUGGUAGUGAGGU